rnacentral:lncRNA from 1 species
GAAACAAAGGAGAGUGGAUGAAGAACACAGCAGCCUGCCUCCACAGCUUUGGUUUCUAAUGUCACUGCAGCUGUGCCGUUCAAUAGUGAAUAGUCUUACUGUCAAUGAAUCGAUGUGCAAAUAAUUUCCUUGGGAGGAACUCUUUAUAAAUGACACAAACAAAUGGAAAAACGUUCCAUGCACAUGGAUAGGAAGAAUCAAUAUCGUUAAAUGGCCAUACAGUUCAAAGAAAUUUACAGAUGCAAUGCUAUUUCUAAAAACUACCAAUGACAUUCUUUACAGAAUUAGAAAAACUAUUUUAAAAUUCAUAUGGGCUAGGAGCAGUGGCUCAUGCCUGUAAUCCCAACAUUUUGGAAGGCUGAGGUGGGAGGAUCACUCGAGCUCAGGAGUUCGAGACCAGCCUGGGUAACAUAGUGAGAGCCUGUCUCUAUGAAAAAACAAAAAAUUUGUUCAGGCAUGAUGGUGUGCACCUCUAGUCCCUGCUACUCAGGAAGAUGAGGCAGAAGGAUCACUUUGAGCCUGGGAGGUUGAGGCUGCAGUGGGCCAUGACUGUGCCACUGCUCUCCAGCCCAACCACCACCACCAAAAAAAAAAAAAAAAAAAAAAAAAAAAUUCACAUGGAACAAAAAAAGAGCCAGAAUAGCCAAGAAAAA